CAGAGCAAAGUCUCCUCUGGCAUGUAGCCACUUACAAUUACAAAUGCUUAAUUCUGGCUGAACAAGCUGGCCAGCCUUGCAUUAUUUUUGUAGUGUGCUUUAUGCCAAAGGAGAUUUGCUCGG